rnacentral:rRNA from 1 species
CCGCGCGAGAGUACGCUCACAAGUUGAAGGAAGUGGCGGAGGUGCACCGCAGCGACUUGCUGAUCCUCAUGCGAACCUACCUCGAGAAGCCCCGGACGAGCGUCGGUUGGCGCGGCCUGGUCAAUGACCCGGACCUCUCGGGCAACGAGGAUUUGGAGCGUGGGGUUGCAUUGGGUCGCCG